CAAUUGAAGAGUUUGAUCCUGGCUCAGCCUGAACGCUGGCGGCAUGGUUAAAGCAUGCAAGUCGCGGGAGAAACCCUUCGGGGUGGACACCGGCGAAAGGGUGAGUAAUGCAUUCGAAUGUACCCCGAGGUGAGGGAUAGCUGGGGGAAACUCCAGGUAAUACCUCAUACGCUCUAUGGAGGAAAGCUUCGGCGCCUCGGGAGCAGCGAAUGUCCUAUCAGGUAGUUGGUGAGGUAAUGGCUCACCAAGCCGAAGACGGGUAGCGGGUGUGAGAGCACGACCCGCCACAUCGGGACUGAGACACUGCCCGGACUCCUACGGGAGGCUGCAGCGACGAAUCUUCCGCAAUGCACGAAAGUGUGACGGAGCAAUGCCGCGUGUGGGAUGAAUCGGCUUCGCCGUGUAAACCACUGUCAGGGUCUAGGAAGAACUGACCAGACCCAAAG
rnacentral:rRNA from 1 species